GCCUAUGUCCAUGCUACCCUGAACAAGCCUAAUCCCGUCUGAUCUCGGAAGCUAAGCAGGAUCGGGCCUGGGUAGUACUUAGAUAGGAAACCACCUAGGAAGACCAGGUGCUAUAGGCA
ensembl:rRNA 5S_rRNA 5S ribosomal RNA